rnacentral:rRNA from 1 species
UACGGAGGGGGCUAGCGUUGUUCGGAAUUACUGGGCGUAAAGCGCACGUAGGCGGACGGGAAAGUCAGGUGUGAAAUCCCGGGGCUCAACCUGGGAACUGCAUUUGAAACUCCCUGUCUUGAGGCCGGUAGAGGUGGGUGGAAUUCCGGGUGUAGCGGUGAAAUUCGUAGAUAUUCGGAGGAACACCAGUGGCGAAGGCGGCCCACUGGGCCGAUACUGACGCUGAGAUGCGAAAGCGUGGGGAGCAAACAGG